rnacentral:rRNA from 1 species
UACGAAGGGGGCUAGCGUUGCUCGGAAUUACUGGGCGUAAAGGGCGCGUAGGCGGACAGUUUAGUCGGGGGUGAAAGCCCGGGGCUCAACCUCGGAAUUGCCUUCGAUACUGGCUGUCUUGAGUACGGGAGAGGUGUGUGGAACUCCGAGUGUAGAGGUGAAAUUCGUAGAUAUUCGGAAGAACACCAAGUGGCGAAGGCGACACACUGGCCCGUUACUGACGCCUGAGGCGCGAAAGCGUGGGGAGCAAAACAGG